CUUCCAGCAAUAUAUAUAUAUAUAUUAAUAUAGAUAUGUAUUUAUGUCACAUGCUAUAUACAAAUAAAUAAAAGGGGGAGGGGCUUGUUCCUGGGUCCACCCAUCAUUAUACUCAUUUGGCGAGAGAGAGACCUUCGGGGCGGAGUUGAGGAAUGGGGGGGCGGGGGAAGGUUUGGGCAG